AUUGAACGCUGGCGGCAGGCCUAACACAUGCAAGUCGAACGAGUGGCGGACGGGUGAGUAAUGCUUGGGAAUCUGCCUGAUGGAGGGGGAUAACUACUGGAAACGGUAGCUAAUACCGCGUACCAUAGGAUGAGCCCAUGUGGGAUUAGUUAGUAGGUGAGGUAACGGCUCACCAAGGCGACGAUCUCUAGCUGGUCUGAGAGGAUGACCAGCCACACGGGGACUGAGACACGGCCCAGACUCCUACGGGAGGCAGCAGUGGGGAAUAUUGCGCAAUGGGGGCAACCCUGACGCAGCCACGCCGCGUGAAUGAAGAAGGCCUUCGGGUUGUAAAGUUCUUUCGGUGGCGAGGCGUUACCUACAGAAGAAGCACCGGCUAACUCCGUGCCAGCAGCCGCGGUAAUUC
rnacentral:rRNA from 1 species